GAUGAACGCUAGCUACAGGCUUAACACAUGCAAGUCGAGGGACCGGCGCACGGGUGAGAAACACGUAACCAACCUGCCCUUUACUCGGCGACAUCCUUUCGAAAGAAAGAUUAAUACUCUACUUAAAGGAUGGGGAUGCGUUGCCUUAGGUUGUUGGUGAGGUAGCGAUUCACCAAGCGGUCGAUGGAUCGGGGUUCUGAGAGGAGGGUCCCCCGCAAUGGAACUACGACACGGUCCAAACUCCUACGAGAGGAGGCAGUGGGGAAUAUUGGUCAAUGGUCGUUAGCCUGAACCAGCCGAGUAGCGUGAAGGAUGAAGGCGUUUGGGUCGUAAACUUCUUUUAUAUAAGAAUAUGUAUUAUAUGAAUAAGGAUCGGCUAACUCCGUGCCAGCAGCCGCGGUAAUUC
rnacentral:rRNA from 1 species